rnacentral:rRNA from 1 species
AACGAACGCUGGCGGCAGGCCUAACACAUGCAAGUCGAGCGAAGCCUUCGGGCUUAGCGGCGGACGGGUGAGUAACGCGUGGGAACGUGCCCUUUGGUACGGAAUAGCCCCGGGAAACUGGGAGUAAUACCGUAUGUGGUCGAGAGACGAAAGAUUUAUCGCCAAAGGAUCGGCCCGCGUUGGAUUAGGUAGUUGGUGGGGUAAUGGCCUACCAAGCCGACGAUCCAUAGCUGGUUUGAGAGGAUGAUCAGCCACACUGGGACUGAGACACGGCCCAGACUCCUACGGGAGGCAGCAGUGGGGAAUCUUAGACAAUGGGGGAAACCCUGAUCUAGCCAUGCCGCGUGAUCGAUGAAGGCCUUAGGGUUGUAAAGAUCUUUCAGUGGGGAAGAUAAUGACUGUACCCACAGAAGAAGCCCCGGCUAACUCCGUGCCAGCAGCCGCGGUAAUAC